rnacentral:rRNA from 1 species
AACAGGAUUAGAUACCCUGGUAGUCCACGCCGUAAACGAUGUCGACUUGGAGGUUGUGCCCUUGAGGCGUGGCUUCCGGAGCUAACGCGUUAAGUCGACCGCCUGGGGAGUACGGCCGCAAGGUUAAAACUCAAAUGAAUUGACGGGGGCCCGCACAAGCGGUGGAGCAUGUGGUUUAAUUCGAUGCAACGCGAAGAACCUUACCUGGUCUUGACAUCCACAGAACUUUCCAGAGAUGGAUUGGUGCCUUCGGGAACUGUGAGACAGGUGCUGCAUGGCUGUCGUCAGCUCGUGUUGUGAAAUGUUGGGUUAAGUCCCGCAACGAGCGCAACCCUUAUCCUUUGUUGCCAGCGGUCCGGCCGGGAACUCAAAGGAGACUGCCAGUGAUAAACUGGAGGAAGGUGGGGAUGACGUCAAGUCAUCAUGGCCCUUACGACCAGGGCUACACACGUGCUACAAUGGCGCAUACAAAGAGAAGCGACCUCGCGAGAGCAAGCGGACCUCAUAAAGUGCGUCGUAGUCCGGAUUGGAGUCUGCAACUCGACUCCAUGAAGUCGGAAUCGCUAGUAAUCGUGGAUCAGAAUGCCACGGUGAAUACGUUCCCGGGCCUUGUACACACCGCCCGUCACACCAUGGGGGUGGGUUGCAAAAGAAGUAGGUAGCUUAACCUUCGGGAGGGCGCUUACCACUUUGUGAUUCAUGACUGGGGUGAAGUCGUAACAAGGUAACC